UAAGCUACUCUCUUCAGACUGUAUAAAUCUUUCACCUUUUACUAAAGAUUUCUGUGGAGAGGAAUAAUUCUGACUCUUAACCCAAUUUUUUGAGGCCUUGCACUAGCAGGGCU
rnacentral:snRNA from 1 species